rnacentral:rRNA from 1 species
AACGUAGGUGGCGAGCGUUAUCCGGAUUUACUGGGCGUAAAGCGUGUGCAGGCGGGUGAACAAGUGGUGUAUGAAAGGUUCGGCUCAACCGAGAUAGGUUAUGCCAGACUGUUACCUAGAGUGUGAGAGAGGGACGUGGAAUUCCUGGUGUAGCGGUGAAAUGCGCAGAUAUCAGGAGGAACACCGGUGGCGAAGGCGGGUCUCUGGCCGUAACUGACGCUGAGGAGCGAAGACGUGGGGAGCGAACAGG